rnacentral:rRNA from 1 species
GGGGAAUAUUGGACAAUGGAGGGAACUCUGAUCCAGCAAUUCUGUGUGCACGAAGAAGGUUUUCGGAUUGUAAAGUGCUUUCAGUUGGGAAGAAGGAAGUGACGGUACCAAUAGAAGAAGCGACGGCUAAAUACGUGCCAGCAGCCGCGGUAAUACGUAUGUCGCGAGCGUUAUCCGGAAUUAUUGGGCAUAAAGGGCAUCUAGGCGGUUAUGCAAGUCAGGGGUGAAAACUUACGGCUCAACCGUGAGCUUGCCUUUGAAACUGUGUGACUAGAGUACUGGAGAGGUGGGCGGAACUACACGAGUAGAGGUGAAAUUCGUAGAUAUGUGUAGGAAUGCCGAUGAUGAAGAUAGCUCACUGGACAGAAACUGACGCUGAAGUGCGAAAGCUAGGGGAGCGAACAGGAUUAGAUACCCUGGUAGUCCUAGCUGUAAACGAUGAUCACUGGGUGUGGGCAUGAAGAGUGUCUGUGCCGAAGCGAAUGCGAUAAGUGAUCCGCCUGGGGAGUACGACCGCAAGGUUG